GUCUAUGGCCAUGCCACCCUGAACAAGCCCAAUCCCGUCUGAUCUCGGAAGCUAAGCAGGGUCAGGCCCGAUUAGUACUUGGAUGAGAGGCCACCUAGGAAGACCAGGUGCUGUAGGCG
rnacentral:rRNA from 1 species